rnacentral:misc_RNA from 1 species
AGCAGCCGCGGUAAUUCCAGCUCCAAUAGCGUAUAUUAAAGUUGUUGCAGUUAAAAAGCUCGUAGUUGAAUUUCGGGGUUAGCAGGUCGGUCGUGCCAUCGGUAUGAACUGGUCUCGCUGAUCCCUCCCUCUUGACGAACUGUGAUGCCAUUAAUUUGGUGUCGCAGGGAAUCAGGACUGUUACUUUGAAAAAUUGAGUGUUUAAAGCAGGCUCACGCUUGAAUACAUUAGCAUGGAAUAAUGAAAUAGGACGUUUGAUCCUAUUUUGUUGGCUUCUAGGAUUGACGUAAUGAUUAAUAGGGAUAGUUGGGGGCAUUAGUAUUCAAUUGUCAGAGGUGAAAUUCUUGGAUUUAUUGAAGACUAACUACUGCGAAAGCAUUUGCCAAGGAUGUUUUCAUUAAUCAAGAACGAAAGUUAGGGGAUCGAAGACGAUCAGAUACCGUCGUAGUCUUAACCAUAAACUAUGCCGACUAGGGAUCGGAUGAUGUUAAUUUUUAAUGACUCU